rnacentral:rRNA from 1 species
GACGAACGCUGGCGGCGUGCUUAACACAUGCAAGUCGAACGCAUCCUUCGGGGUGAGUGGCAGACGGGUGAGUAACGCGUGGGAACGUGCCCUUCAGUUCGGGAUAACCCAGGGAAACUUGGGCUAAUACCGGAUACGUGCGAGAGCAGAAAGAUUUAUCGCUGAAGGAUCGGCCCGCGUCUGAUUAGCUAGUUGGUGGGGUAAUGGCCCAACAAGGCGACGAUCAGUAGCUGGUCUGAGAGGAUGAUCAGCCACAUUGGGAAUGAGACACGGCCCAAACUCCUACGGGAGGCAGCAGUGGGGAAUAUUGGACAAUGGGCGCAAGCCUGAUCCAGCCAUGCCGCGUGAGUGAUGAAGGCCUUAGGGUUGUAAAGCUCUUUCGUCCGGGACGAUAAUGACGGUACCGGAAGAAGAAGCCCCGGCUAACUUCGUGCCAGCCGCCGCUGUAA